GACACUAUUUUGUUUCAAUCCUGAUCCACCCCUUGCUGAAUUCUCAGACGUUUACUCCAGUAACUAGACUUCUCAUUACAAAAUAAAAAACAGAAAGACAAGGUAUUACCUGGUGAUUUCAUUCCAGCCACAGCAAGAUAGGUCCAGUAUGGGAGAAGAUCGACCAGUCCAACGGACAGGAAUGUCCCAUAUGGGAAAAGACAGAAGAAGUACCAUUAGUACCAUUAGUACAAGUACCAAGUAUAGGCAGAAGUGGGACAUUUAAAAAAAAUGUAAGGCUUCACCAUAUUGGCGAAUUGCAUUAGGAUGUAUAACUUAUUAAUUAAUUAUGGUGAACUGUAGUAUUAAACAAAAACGGACUCAGAUUAUACCGCACCAAGUCAAAGAUAGGGAAACAUCCAGUGCUUAAUUUGUGCCGGAUCCAGAUCCGGGACCACGGGAUCCAGAUCCGGAACUUGGCGACUCAUAUCCUGUUCCUAUUGGGACAUGUAGCUACUUCAUUUCACAGAUAAGGUUUUCUGUCUGAAUAAGUUUAAUACAUAAAAAAAAGUGGUCAAAAAUAACGUGUUGAUGCAGUGUGCACAUUAUGAGAGAGAAGGUGAGUAUGAGGGACAGUUUAAGAGAGUAUGGUACUCAGAAGAUUAGUGUGAACAACAUAUUAGUUUUAGCGUAUUGUUAAUUUACUUGAAGGCUACGGGGCUGGCUGGGUGGUUGGAUAAAGGUCUGUCGUGUCUCUGACCCACAAUCCAGUACAGUAGGUGGCGUUAAUGCACAAUUGAACUAAAGUUGGAUGCUAACUGCCGCUAAACACCAAUGAAGCCGAAUUUGUCUGGUACUUCUCAUUUGUCUCGCUCUGAAGGGAUCCGCUUGUUUCCUCAUACUAAAAGAUGACUACAUCUAGCUUUGGUACUUUCCUCCCAGAGAUCUGCUGUCCUGCUGGUCUCAUCUUCGCUGAGGACCUCUUUGAGGUGCUCCUACCUGGGCCAGCUAGAUGUUUGUGUGAUGGACUCUCCUCAUACUCAGAAAUAGGUGUGGGAUUUUGCCCGCAGCUGCUAGGUCUGAAAGGACCAUUCUCCUGUGAAAGGAUCUGCCUAGAAAAGCAUGGGACAAGAGGAAAGGACAGGAGAGGAAUAUCCUGACGUUGUUAGAUUUGCGGACCAUCUUCAGUUGUCACAGAAAGUGCUCGAAUGGUCAAGCAUGAGAUGUUAUCCAGAACACCAUAUGUUCGAGCAUGAUCAUAGAGGUGGAGGAGGCCAUGCAUGUUAUAAGUAAUGUACUCUCUGCUGUACAGCUUCCUAAAGGUGUCCACAAAUAAACCUAGCAGGCUGUGAGGGGAGUGGAUGUUCAGAGAGAAACUCUCUGGAAGAUGGUCAUGGCUGCACAUAGGAGCAUGAAGUUUUCAUAUCUUCUCAGCAACCUGAACGUCGUCUUGAUGACCACAUCUUGGUCACAUCUCGGAGCUGCUGUACCUUAAAGGAACGUUAUCCGCACCAAAUAAUGCAGCUCCCUCGCAUGACACACUGGAAGCCUCUGUGACCUUUUGCUUUUCUUAUAAAUGCAUGGACUGGGUCCUCACACACAAUAGCAGAAAGGUGUGCGUCUUGGUAAUGAAUGCUUUCUGUUUCCAGCUGAAGAUCUUAAUGAAAUCAUGUAGAAAAUGAAAAUAAUAUCCCAAUAUUAAAAACUUAAAGAUUCUGCACCUUUCAAAUAGGUACCUCCAUUACCCCCUUGCGAAGGAUUGUAAUUGGUUGCAUGUGUGUGUUUAUACAUCAGCUCUGCAUAUUGCACUUCAUACUCAAUGUGUCAGCCCAGCAAAUAAAUGUUUAAAUGUAAGCUGCUGUCUUUUAGAAGUUAUAAGUGACUGGAUAAUAAUUAUGGAUAACUUUAUAUUUAUCCUUUUUUAACACAAGCACGUACAUACAACUGUCCCAUGAUUAACUGAAGUUGAGCACUCAAGAGACUUUGGGCAGUAAUAAGUAUGAUGGUAUGGUAUAGCAAUGUGAAGGUCAUAAUGUAUACACAUGCAUUUUGUUCAAUAUAAUACAUAUUUCCAAAUGGUAAUUUCAAUAUGCUAUGUAAAAAGUAAUGGGACUAAAAUGAUUUCAGUCUCAGCUUGACUACACAAUUUUCAAAUUAAAAUACGAUUAACUUACACAGGAAAAACAGGCAUAAUUGUGUGAGAUAAGAGGAAUUGAAAGAAUUAAAAAAAUGGGAAGUGUUUCUGUAGUUAGCCUGUUUGGUUGGAUCACCAUUGAAAAAA
rnacentral:lncRNA from 1 species